GACGUAGGGGGCGAGCGUUGUCCGGAAUUACUGGGCGUAAAGCGCGUGUAGGCGGGCGCUUAAGUCGGGUGUGAAAACCCUGGGCUCAACCGAGGGCAUGCACUCGAAACUGGGCGUCUUGAGGGCGGGAGAGGGAAGUGGAAUUCCUGGUGUAGCGGUGAAAUGCGUAGAUAUCAGGAGGAACACCAGUGGCGAAGGCGGCUUUCUGGCCCGUGCCUGACGCUGAGAAGCGAAAGCGUGGGGAGCAAACAGG
rnacentral:rRNA from 1 species